AACCAUUCUCACCUGCGGCUAGACCUGCGGAAGGAUCAUUACCGAGUGUGAACCCCCCCGUAAAAAAGAGGGGUUACCUCCCGUCCUUUGCUGGGAGCCCCUUUCCAACUUGGAAGGAGGUUGUUUUCAGACCCUUCUGCUUCGGUGGGGUAACCCACCGGAACAACCUCAAAAAUAUUCUCAAUUCAAAACCGUUCAGUCCGAGAACUUUUUUGAAAAGCGAAAAAACUUUUAACAACG
rnacentral:misc_RNA from 1 species